GUAACAUAUAGUUAAUGUACCUUCAAGACUGGGAUAGCCACUGGAAACGGUGAUUAAUACUAGAUAUACCUUCAUAUCACAAGCUAUGAAGGGAAACGUUUUUUCGCUUGAAGAUCAGACUAUAUCCCAUCAGUUAGUUGGUAGGGUAAUGGCCUACCAAGGCAAUGACGGGUAGCGGGUUUGAGAGGAUGAUCCGCCACACUGGUACUGAGACACGGACCAGACUCCUACGGGAGGCAGCAGUGAGGAAUAUUGCACAAUGGGGGAAACCCUGAUGCAGCAACGCCGCGUGGAGGAUGACGCAUUUCGGUGUGUAAACUCCUUUUAUAAGAGAAGAAAAUGACGGUAUCUUAUGAAUAAGUCCCGGCUAACUCCGUGCCAGCAGCCGCGGUAAUACGGAGGGGACAAGCGUUAUUCGGAAUCACUGGGCGUAAAGGACGCGUAGGCGGGUUAUUAAGUCGGGUGUGAAAUCCAAUGGCUCAACCAUUGAACUGCAUUCGAAACUGGUGACCUAGAGUAUGGAAGGGGCAGGUGGAAUUAGUGGUGUAGGGGUAAAAUCCGUAGAUAUCACUAGGAAUACCUAAAGCGAAGGCGAUCUCCUGGAACAUAACUGACGCUAAGGCGUGAAAGCGUGGGGAGCAAACAGGAUUAGAUACCCUGGUAGUCCACGCCCUAAACGAUGAACACUAGUCGUCGUGAUGCUUGUCAUUGCGGUGAUGCACUUAACAGAUUAAGUGUUCCGCCUGGGGGAGUACGGUCGCAAGAUUAAAACUCAAAGGAAUAGACGGGGACCCGCACAAGUGGUGGAGCAUGUGGUUUAAUUCGAAGAUACGCGAAGAACCUUUACCUAGCCUUGACAUUGAUAGAAUACUCUAGAGAUAGAGUAGUGCCUUUCGGGGAACUUGAAAACAGGUGCUGCACGGCUGUCGUCAGCUCGUGUCGUGAGAUGUUGGGUUAAGUCCCGCAACGAGCGC
rnacentral:rRNA from 1 species